CUGGGAAAAGUUGGGAGUGUGUUCAGUGUAGGUGACCCCUGCAGCUGUUUGCUUUCCCCAACGCACAGAAACCCCAGUACAGCCCUGAACCAAUCAGUCCCCCUUAUUCACCAUUUCAGGGCUCCCGUGGGUUACGUGUGCUCUUUUUGGGAUGGGAAAAUUAUGCUACUGUGAAGACUGUU